rnacentral:rRNA from 1 species
UACGUAGGGGGCAAGCGUUGUCCGGAAUCAUUGGGCGUAAAGAGCGUGUAGGCGGCCCGGUACGUCCGUUGUGAAAGUCCAGGGCUCAACCCUGGAAUGCCGAUGGAUACUGCCGGGCUAGAGUUCGGAAGAGGCGAGUGGAAUUCCUGGUGUAGCGGUGGAAUGCGCAGAUAUCAGGAGGAACACCUAUAGCGAAGGCAGCUCGCUGGGACGACACUGACGCUGAGACGCGAAAGCGUGGGGAGCGAACAGG